GAUGAACGCUAGCGGCAGGCCUAAUACAUGCAAGUCGAACGGUAGAUCGGGUAGCAAUGCUUGAUUGAGAGUGACGUAAGGGUGCGUAACACGUAUGCAAUCUACCCUCAACAGGAGUAUAGCUCGGGGAAACUCGGAUUAACACUCCAUAACAUUACGAUGUGGCAUCACAUUGUGAUUAAAACUCCGGUGGUUGAGGAUGAGCAUGCGUCUGAUUAGUUAGUUGGAGGUGUAACCGGACCCCAAGACGAUGAUCAGGUAGGGGAACUGAGAGGUUGACUCCCCACACUGGCACUGAGAUACGGGCCAGACUCCUACGGGAGGCAGCAGUAGGGAAUAUUGGACAA
rnacentral:rRNA from 1 species